GUUGAACGCUGGCGGCGUGCCUAAUACAUGCAAGUCGAGCGAACAGAUGAGGAGCUUGCUCCUCUGACGUUAGCGGCGGACGGGUGAGUAACACGUGGAUAACCUACCUAUAAGACUGGGAUAACUUCGGGAAACCGGAGCUAAUACCGGAUAAUAUAUUGAACCGCAUGGUUCAAUAGUGAAAGACGGUUUUGCUGUCACUUAUAGAUGGAUCCGCGCCGCAUUAGCUAGUUGGUAAGGUAACGGCUUACCAAGGCAACGAUGCGUAGCCGACCUGAGAGGGUGAUCGGCCACACUGGAACUGAGACACGGUCCAGACUCCUACGGGAGGCAGCAGUAGGGAAUCUUCCGCAAUGGGCGAAAGCCUGACGGAGCAACGCCGCGUGAGUGAUGAAGGUCUUCGGAGCGUAAAACUCUGUUAUUAGGGAAGAACAAAUGUGUAAGUAACUAUGCACGUCUUGACGGUACCUAAACAGAAAGGCACGGGUAACUACGUG
rnacentral:rRNA from 1 species